rnacentral:rRNA from 1 species
GAUGAACGCUAGCGGCAGGCUUAAUACAUGCAAGUCGAGGGGCAGCACGGGUAGCAAUACUUGGUGGCGACCGGCGCACGGGUGCGUAACACGUAUACAACCUCCCUAUAACAGGGGGAUAGCCUUUCGAAAGAGAGAUUAAUACCCCGUACUAAGUUGAAUGGCAUCAUUUGACUUUGAAAGUUCCGACGGUUAUAGAUCGGUAUGCGUCCUAUUAGCUAGUUGGUGGUGUAAUGGAACACCAAGGCGACGAUAGGUAGGGGAUCUGAGAGGACGAACCCCCACACUGGUACUGAGACACGGACCAGAAUCCUACGGGAGGCAGCAGUAAGGAAUAUUAGACAAUGGUCGCAAGACUGAUCCAGCCAUGCCGCGUGCAGGAAGACGGCCCUAUGGGUCGUAAACUGCUUUUGUACCAGAGAAAACCUACUCACGUGUGAGUAGCUGAUAGUAUGGUAAGAAUAAGCAUCGGCUAACUUCGUGCCAGCAGCCGCAGUAACAC